rnacentral:misc_RNA from 1 species
ACGUAUACAGGGUAUUCUAUGCCUGCUUCCCGGCUUAUAACGCUACUACCGCUUCUGCGAAAAUGGACUUUGAGGGGCUUCUGACACACGACGCGUUGCGCCCGUUGGUGAGCGAGUUUGCGCUGCACCUCAUGGACCACUCCGACACGGCCUCCCUCAUUUCUCGGCUGCCACCGCCGAAGAUGGCGAUGCUGUAUCACGCCGCGCUCCUGCGUUCCUCGACAGCAGUGUCAACCCAAGGCGAGUUCACGCACGGGGCAGAGCGCCUGUGCGCUUCGGUGUUGGAUGCCUACGCGCUUCGCGACGGUGGUGUGAAGGGGGAAACACCAGGAAUGGACGGUGCGCGCAUGCGGUCUGUUUGGACAAUUACCGCUGAAGAGGCUCCUGCAGCGAUGAUCAUCUGUCCAGCGCUCUGUCAACGUCUUGUCGAAGCCGAAGGCAAGCAUCCUUUCCUGGAGGAGGCACUCGCGGCGAGAGAGGCGCGGCUGCAGCACCGCAUCGUGACGCUGGCUGCUGGCGUUGCCCCUGCCUCGUCCAUUUCGCCGGCCUCGCCAGCACCUCCGUGAUGUUGGGUGAGUGGAGUUGUAUGGCGCCCCUUUCUUGCGAAUACUCGAACAGGGGUACGUGCCCUUUCCUCUCUUUGGACUCGCUGUCGAGAACACUCGGCAGCACUGCUGGCUCUGGGGGACGGCACGUCCAACGCCCGUGCCACUCACACCAGAUGUGGAGAUGUCCCACGGGAUCGUGUGUUCGCCGUUGUGUUUUUUUUUUGUUUGUUCUUUUCCCACUCUCCCUCUGUGUCUGCUCUCUCUGCUACGUCACCGCCGCUGCGGUGGUGGUGAACCUUUUUUGUGUCUGUUUGAUGGCUGUUUGUCUGUUAUGCCGCCUUCUCGUCCCCUGUUUCGUUGCACUCGUACUCUUGUGCGGUUUGCCGCGUGCGCUUCUUGUCUUCCUCAUCUCGCCUUCACCGCACCCUCCCCCCUCUCUCGGAGUGCCACUCGCGUCAUCAACGUGCGCAAGGAAAGGUAUGCGGUUUAUCGCCAUCACGAGCCACAAGAAGACGGACUUCUUCCCCCGCCGUCCCCGGAUAUUGUUUGCCGUCUCACUUGUUCGCCCUUGCCUGCCCCCUGCUGGAGUGAUUUACCGCGAACGCAAAGCUUCCACCGGGGGAACGCGAAAAAA